UCUCCCCCUUAUUCUUUCAAAUUAAGCAUAUUUAAUGUGAAUUUAACAUUUAAAUUCAGAUUCUUGAUUUUAAAAAUAUUUUCAACUAAUUUCUUAUUUUAAUAUUUUCUCUCUCUUACUUUUGCAAACAAAGUCAAUUUAAAAAUUAAGCAUAACACAAAAGUAUAAAUAUCAAUGGAGUGAACUAGGCAUCAAUUAAUCCAAAUAU
rnacentral:lncRNA from 1 species